rnacentral:rRNA from 1 species
UACGAAGGUCCCAAGCGUUAUCCGGAUUUAUUGGGUUUAAAGGGUGCGUAGGCGGGUUAUUAAGUCAGUGGUGAAAGCCUACAGCUUAACUGUAGAACUGCCAUUGAUACUGAUGAUCUUGAGUAUGAUUGAGGUUGGCGGAAUGUGUCAUGUAGCGGUGAAAUGCUUAGAUAUGACACAGAACACCGAUUGCGAAGGCAGCUAACUAAGUCAUAACUGACGCUGAUGCACGAAAAGCGUGGGGGAGCAAACAGG